rnacentral:lncRNA from 1 species
AGGGACUGGAAGUUUCUGUAAUUAGCAAAUAUGUUGCAUGCAUCACCCCAACAUAGAAUCACCUGAGAUAAGUAGGGGGAUGAGAUACUAAAGAUCAACAGAGCCUGAAUUUUGAACGAGGGGAACUCUGAACUAGGCAAGAACGGAGAUUAUUGCACAGGACACAAGGCUUAAAGUCCAGACAUCUUUGUGAAAAAGAACAGAAGGUUAACACUAGAACUUUCGUAAAAAUAACUUAGGUUUUUUUCAAUUAAUCCUUUUGUUAUCUUGGUAAAAAGUGG